GUUGAAGAACGUAGCGAAAUGCGAUACUUGGUGUGAAUUGCAGAAUCCCGCGAAUCAUCGAGUUUUUGAACGCAAGUUGUGCCCGAAGCCAUUCGGCCGAGGGCACGUCUGCCUGGGUGUCACGCAUCGUUGACCCCCCAAACUCCGGUUCGGGCGGGGCGGAAGUUGGCCUCCCGUGCGUGCCUGCGCGCGCGGUUAGCCCAAAAGCGAGUCCUCGGCGACGAGCGCCACGACAAUCGGUGGUUUUUUUACCCUCGUUCCUCGUCAUGCGUGUCCCGUCGCCCGAACGCGCUCUUGUGACCCUCACGCGUCGCCUCGGCGGCGCUCCCAACGCGACCCCAGGUCAGGCGGGACUACCCGCUGAGUUUAAGCAUAUCAAUAAGCGGAGGA
rnacentral:misc_RNA from 1 species